rnacentral:lncRNA from 1 species
AUGCGGUACUCUAUCGGAUCGCCUUAAUGGUGCAGGUACAUUGGGCUCCAGAUCUGAUCUAAUCAUAUCUGACUAAGGUUCAGCUAUUGGUAUCGGUCCUUCUUGUUGGAGCACGAUCUCAGCUCCUCCCACGGACCUUUGGUGCAGUGGAACCAGCAACAAAUAGAUCUGGAGACUUCUGGACACGAUCCAAGGCCCUUGAUGAAAUCAG